ensembl:miRNA
ACCUCAUAGGCCUGGGUUAGUGUAGAGUCAUCGCCUCCAGGGCUAGGAGGUGG